GUCCUUCAAACCGCCGCCCAAUGCAGUGGCUACGACGACGAUUUCAACUUUUCCACGCCACAAGCUCUCCGUGAAAGAUCCCGCAGUAGCCCAUGUGGUCCAGAAUCUCCGAUUCCCCUCGAAAAACGUGCUUCAGAACCAGCUUCCCUGGAGCUCCGCCAAGAAUAUUGGCGUAAAAACGGGACCCCAGACGUGUGCGAAGAGGAUAUUCUACACCGGGCCCGUCAGAUUUUGGAGGAUGAAAAUUCGGAAAAAUUGGUUGAAAAAGAGUCACUGAGGACACUUUUACAGUUGGAAGGCAUCAAAAAAGACGAAAUUCGCUUCACACCUACCGUAACCAUUGCCAACGCGGCAAAAGCGUUGGCCGAGUUGGCGCUGGCCGUUCCCGUGGAUUUAACGGCCAUUUGGAAUUCUGGAAAUUCCCAAAACUCCCAAAACCCACAAAAUCCCGAGAAAAAUGGGUCAAAAAUCUCGAAAAACCCGCCACAAAUCGUAAAAGUCAUUCGGCCCGGCCACAGACUACAAACUACAACAACUAAGCCCAUUGCUACAGUAACCCCGAUUACGGUACCUGUAGCGAAUGCUGAUGACGUGGCAGUUAACAAUAUGGGAAUGAUUUCCGAGGAAAUGCGCCGGAAACAAGACGAAAUGUGGCUUGAUUUGAGGCUUACGCAGCAUAUUAAAAAACG
rnacentral:sRNA from 1 species